rnacentral:rRNA from 1 species
AGCGCAGCUACCAUGCAAGUCGAGCGAGCUCUUCGGAGCUAGCGGCGGACGGGUUAGUAACGCGUGGGAACGUGCCCUUCACUGCGGAAUAGCCACUGGAAACGGUGAGUAAUACCGCAUACGCCCUUCGGGGGAAAGAUUUAUCGGUGAAGGAUCGGCCCGCGUUAGAUUAGAUAGUUGGUGGGGUAACGGCCUACCAAGUCUACGAUCUAUAGCUGGUUUUAGAGGAUGAUCAGCAACACUGGGACUGAGACACGGCCCAGACUCCUACGGGAGGCAGCAGUGGGGAAUCUUGGACAAUGGGCGCAAGCCUGAUCCAGCCAUGCCGCGUGAGUGAUGAAGGCCUUAGGGUCGUAAAGCUCUUUCGCCAGAGAUGAUAAUGACAGUAUCUGGUAAAGAAACCCCGGCUAACUCCGUGCCAGCAGCCGCGGUAAUACGGAGGGGGUUAGCGUUGUUCGGAAUUACUGGGCGUAAAGCGCACGUAGGCGGAUCAGAAAGUUGGGGGUGAAAUCCCGGGGCUCAACCCCGGAACUGCCUCCAAAACUCCUGGUCUUGAGUUCGAGAGAGGUGAGUGGAAUUCCGAGUGUAGAGGUGAAAUUCGUAGAUAUUCGGAGGAACACCAGUGGCGAAGGCGGCUCACUGGCUCGAUACUGACGCUGAGGUGCGAAAGUGUGGGGAGCAAACAGGAUUAGAUACCCUGGUAGUCCACA